UACGGAGGGUGCAAGCGUUAUCCGGAUUCACUGGGUUUAAAGGGUGCGUAGGUGGCUUUGUAAGUCAGUGGUGAAAUCUCGGAGCUUAACUCCGAAAACUGCCAUUGAUACUGCUUAGCUUGAAUCAAGUAGAGGUGGAUGGAAUAUUACAUGUAGCGGUGAAAUGCUUAGAUAUGUAAUAGAACACCGAUUGCGAAGGCAGUUCACUAUGCUUGUAUUGACACUGAGGCACGAAAAGCGUGGGGGAUCAAAACAGG
rnacentral:rRNA from 1 species